rnacentral:rRNA from 1 species
CGUUGGUGAACCAGCGGAGGGAUCAUUACAGAGUUAUCUAAACUCCAAACCCUGUGAACCGUACUUGUUUUGUUGCCUCGGCAGGCCGCGACCUACCCUGUAGUACCUACCCUGUAAGCGUUACCCUGUAGUGCUUACCGGAGUAGCCUACCUGGCAGAUCGCUCUAGGGCCUGCCGGUGGACCAAACCAAACUCUUGUUUACUGUGUCUCUGAAUACAUAACAAAAUACGUUAAAACUUUCAACAACGGAUCUCUUGGUUCUGGCAUCGAUGAAGAACGCAGCGAAAUGCGAUAAGUAAUGUGAAUUGCAGAAUUCAGUGAAUCAUCGAAUCUUUGAACGCACAUUGCGCCCAUUAGUAUUCUAGUGGGCAUGCCUGUUCGAGCGUCAUUUCAACCCUUAAGCCCUGUUGCUUAGUGUUGGGAGCCUGCUGUACCGCAGCUCCCCAAAGUUAGUGGCGGAGUCGGGUCGCACUCUGAGCGUAGUAAUUCUUCUCGCUUCUGAAGGUGGCCCUUCCCCAGCCGUAAAACCCCUAAUUUCUCAAGGUUGACCUCGGAUCAGGUAGGAAUACCCGCUGAACUUAAGCAUAUCA